AUGUCCUUCAUCAGAGAAAGACAUCAGCUACUAUAUUACACAGUGUGUGUGUGUGAGUGAGUGAGUGAGUUUGUGUGUGUGUGUGUGUGUUACUGUCCUGCUGCAGAACUGAUCAUACCUCAACUCUCUCUCUCUCUCUCUGUCUCUCUCUCUGUGUCUCUCUCUCGCUCUCUCAGGCCGGGCAUUGAGUCUGGGCGUUCUGCGUGACCCGGGGUCAGAGAUUGAGGACUGUCAGUAUCAGAUUGACCUGCAGUGCAUCAGCAUGGGCACAGCUCACUGGGACGAGCUGCGGCCGGAGCAUGAGGGGUCAGCGGGCAGCUCUCCUGUGGAUGGGGAAAGGAGUUCCCAGAAUCCCAUGCUAGAGUGGAACAUGGCUAGCAGGUGUGCAGUCACUAGCUGCAGUUGGCCGCGGUCUCGGUUCGGUGGAGAGUUUGUGUGGCAGCAGCGCCCCCUGCGGGCAGGAGAGUGGGUUUGGCAGUGACAGCUCUCAUCUGCGGAUCGUUCAGAUCGAGGGGCAGAGUGGCACCGGCAGUCGCAGCUGCCCACCAUCACCAAGAACCUCAACUUCAUCAAAGUGUUCCUCACUGCCUGCAGCAUCUCUCUCAUGACAUACAUGACCACACCUGCCUCCAAACUCCCCGCCGACGUCCCCCGGAGGACCAGGUGCUUACAGCCAGGGCUCUUUCCUCACUGACGGCCGAGGAUCUGCUCAACGCAAACGCUGUGGGCGGGUCGACGGGGGUCCUGGGGGGCCGCUCGUGGUGAGACAGACGACCUCACGCUGAAGAGAGUCGCCACCAACUACAAGAGUCUGGGUGAGUGACGCUUCACACGCUGCACUACAGAUACAGCAGGGCUCAACGCUAAGGAGUUUUUCUACUGGCCCAGUUGCCCUGCCAAUACAGUGGUGACCAAAAUGAUUAAAACACUAGUAUUUUCAGCAGCUAAAAAUGGUUUUAAGUCAAUUAUUUCUUUAUUUUGCUGUAGUAUGUCAGUAGGAGGGCUCUUCGGCUCUUCUUCAUGAGUGUUUGAGUGUGUGGAUAAAAACUAGAGUGGCGCGUCAUCUGCUGUUAAAAUAUAGGCUCAGAAUCUCUUCCAGAGAGGAUUCAGAAUGCAUUCAGAAGAUCUCAGAAUCAGAAUCCCAGAAUCGUCGCAGCCCCAGUGUGUGUGUGUGUGUUUUUUUUUCUUGAUUGGGCCUUACCCACAAUGCACUGCAGCAGAUAA
ensembl:lncRNA